GGGAGAACUUAGCCAGCUUAGGUGGCUCAUCAGGGUCACUGUUAGGACGUGAGAGUUGGAAUUCCAACCUAGGGCACUUAACUUCAGAGCUCACAGUUCUGGAAUCACAAUACUGUAUGAAAAGCCCCAAAUGCCUAAAAGAGUCAAAGAUAUUUCUGUUCUGUUAUGACAUAAUUCUGUAGUCAUUAUUGAAGUUUAAAAUAAACUUGGGGUAAUUGAUUAUUGGAACAGAAUUUCAGAAAAUUCUAUCCCAGGUUAAAAAAAAAUACUAUUUUAUGUUUGAAGGCAGUUCAUGAAAUAUAGAGACUAGAAAAGAGCCAAAAGACAAGGCUGCUUGAGCUCAUUUAGAAUCCUCAAAGCCAAGCAAUAUGAGAAUGAAGAGAAAAAUCUAAAAAAGGAAAACAUCUGUUUUAAAAAAUUACCUAAUGUUCAACACCAAUUUUCCCUUCUGAUGGUGUUUUGUCUGCUUAACAUCAAAGCAUUUAUAUGUUGUUUAAUAUUGGUGCUUCACAACUUGGUGCAGUAGGCUGGGUUCAAUUCACUUGCUAACAAUUUUCCCAGGCUUCCUUUUAUCAUUAGAAUGAGGGAGCUUUCCCAUUUGUUACUGACUCCUCUUGGUCGCUGAGGUAUCAGUUCUACUUUUUAUUAAUAGACCUGAAAUUUAGACUGAAGCUGCUGCCCAAGACCUCACAAAUACUAGAAUCCACAUCUGGCUUUUUCCACUUAGAAGCUUAAAGUCACCGAAAAGUGUCACAAAACCAGGUGGAGAAUCAGUGUGUUUCACAGGAAACAAAAAUAUGGUGGGAUAAUCUUGAUCACCGCUGAAACACUGUCAGUCACCUGUUAGGUGUCCAACACUGUUGUAAGGGUUGGGAAUAACAGCUGGGGCGGACAAGGCUGCUGCCCUCAUGGGACUGCGUUCUCUGCUGGGAGACAAUCCAUGUGCAAUAUCAGGUAAGUGCUGUGCAGAGAAGAACUGGCCACGCAUGACAGAGGGUGGUCAGGAAAGGCCUCUGAAGGGGUAGUUAGCUGAGAUCUGAAUGACAGGAAGGAGGUCCGGGCCCCAUAAUAUGAAGAUCAGGGUGAGGCUGUUCACUCAAAGGCACGGAACAUCGGGAGAACACAUGGAUGAUAUGGGUCCAGGGAGAGUAUUUGGGGCAGAGUCCAAGUGUGAAAUGUGGGGAAGAAAGAUGAUUUACAUUUUUAAAAUCAGUGUUGCUGCGUAUCUAGAAGGGAGGGGCACAAGGAGAGGCAAGAAGGCCAGUGUGGAGGCUGUUGCCAUUGUCCAGGCGACGGGGCAGCGUGGACUCCGGUAGCAAGGGAGAUAGCUGUAAAACACCUCUCCGGUCCUACCUGUUUCCUCCCCUCCAGCUCAGCUUGUUUCCAUCUCUGGCAUAAUCGUAACUGUGCUUAUUCCAUUAAUCUGCUUAAAGCCAGAUUUUUUAAAUUGAGAGAAGAAAAGUUUUGAAGAUUAAAAACCCAACAGUAGGCCGGGCGCGGUGGCUCACGCCUGUAAUCCCAGCACCUUGGGAGGCCUAGGCGGGUGGAUCACGAGGU